rnacentral:rRNA from 1 species
UACGGAAGGCAGCAGUGGGGAAUAUUGCACAAUGGGCGAAAGCCUGAUGCAGCUAUGCCGCGUGUAUGAAGAAGGCCUUAGGGUUGUAAAGUACUUUCAUCGGGGAGGAAAAAACAAAACUAAUAAUUUUAUUUCUUGACGUUACCCGAAAAAGAAGCACCGGCUAACUCCGUGCCAGCAGCCGCGGUAAUACGGAGGGUGCUAGCGUUAAUCAGAAUUACUGGGCGUAAAGAGCACGUAGGUGGUUUUUUUAAGUCAGAUGUGAAAUCCCUGGGCUUAACCUGGAACUGCAUUUUGAAACUGAAAUACUAGAGUAUCGUAGAGGGAGGUAGAAUUCUAGGUGUAGCGGUGAAAUGCGUAGAUAUCUGGAGGAAUACCUGUGGCGAAAGCGGCCUCCUAAACGAAUACUGACACUGAGGUGCGAAAGCGUGGGGAGCGAAAC